GCGUUGGCAGCGGAAGGGAAAUCCUCGGCGUCGAGGGCGCGGCGGGCGGCGUCAAGGCAGUGGGAGCGCUCGACGAUGGCGUCGAUGCGGGAGAGGGUGGUGGAGACGCGGGAUUGGGCUAGGUCGAGCUCCCGGACCUUGCGAGAGACGUUGUCGGCGAGGGAAGAGGUGGAUAGGACGGAGUCCAGGAGGAGGUGGGCGUCAUCGCGGGCGAGGUCGAGGAGGUGAGUGGAGCGGUGGAGGGAGGUGAGGUGGCGGUCGAGGUCGGGGCGCUGGGAGAGGAGGGACUCGAGGCGGAGGUCGAGGGAGCGCUGGUAGGCGAUGCAUUCGUGGAGGAGGCGGGUCAUGGCACCGACGUCAGUGAGGGAGCGAAUCUGGGCGAGGGCGGAGGGGGAGCCGAAGUCGAUGGAGGAGGAGGGCGGGUCGGCGGCGGUGGCGGGGGAGGCGUCGG
rnacentral:misc_RNA from 1 species